CCUACGUGAGGCAGCAGUGGGGAAUAUUGGACAAUGAGGGGAACCCUGAUCCAGCGACGCCGCGUGAGUGAAGAAGUAUUUCGGUAUGUAAAGCUCUAUCAGCAGGGAAGAAAAUGACGGUACCUGAAGAAGAAGCCCCGGCUAACUACGUGCCAGCAGCCGCGGUAAUACUUAGGGGGCAAGCGUGAGCCGGAUUUACUGGGUGGAAAGGGAGCGUAGACGGUGCAGCAAGUCUGAUGUGAAAGGUCGGGGCCCAACCCCGGGACUGCAUUGGAAACUGUUGAACUGGAGUAUAGGAGAGGUAAGCGGAAUUCCUAGUGUAGCGGUGAAAUGCGUAGAUAUUAGGAGGAACACCAGUGGCGAAGGCGGCUUACUGGACUGUAACUGACGUUGAGGCUCGAAAGCGUGGGGAGCAAACAGGAUUAGAUACCCGAGUAGUC
rnacentral:rRNA from 1 species